UGGGGAAUAUUGCACAAUGGGCGCAAGCCUGAUGCAGCCAUGCCGCGUGUGUGAAGAAGGCCUUCGGGUUGUAAAGCACUUUCAGCGGGGAGGAAGGCGGUGAGGUUAAUAACCUCAUCGAUUGACGUUACCCGCAGAAGAAGCACCGGCUAACUCCGUGCCAGCAGCCGCGGUAAUACGGAGGGUGCAAGCGUUAAUCGGAAUUACUGGGCGUAAAGCGCACGCAGGCGGUCUGUCAAGUCGGAUGUGAAAUCCCCGGGCUCAACCUGGGAACUGCAUUCGAAACUGGCAGGCUGGAGUCUUGUAGAGGGGGGUAGAAUUCCAGGUGUAGCGGUGAAAUGCGUAGAGAUCUGGAGGAAUACCGGUGGCGAAGGCGGCCCCCUGGACAAAGACUGACGCUCAGGUGCGAAGGCGUGGGGAGCAAACAGG
rnacentral:rRNA from 1 species